AUUCAUCUGUAAAAGACAGUUCAAUCUUCAGUGUUCGUGGAUGCACAGUGGAAUUCUUUUGAAGGAGUGAUAUUCUUAAGCUCAUAAAUACUAGGCACAAACAAGAAAGACAGCAACCAAACUUUAUCCUACUAAGUCGGCUAAAUGAACCUCUUAUGGUAUUUCACUAUGUCUGCAGCGACAUAGCAUACACAACUUCAAAAUUUUCAUUGUCACCCAAUUCUUGUUUACAAAUUCUGAGGUAGCAUAGCAUAAAACAGAAAAAAAGGACAGUCGUAUAUGUUGGCACCAAGGAUGCAUAGCCAGCGGAAACUCUACUGUGGGGAGGAGGCUACUCAGUCCAGAGGAUGCAAUUUUAUUUGGUUUCAGUUGAUUUAUGAAGACAUUGCAUUCGUUGUAGUAACUAUCUUGGUGGAGUGAUUUAUAUGUUUCUCUACAGAAGCAUAUCCUGAUGAAAUACCUCAAAAAAUUUAGCAUUUUCAAUCUGGGAGGAAAAUCUACAGCACUGACAAUUGCAUUCAUCUGACUGCCAAUCAAGUCAUUUGUGGUGAAAUCUCCACCGCUGCUGGAAAUCAGCUGGUAAUUAGAAGACCAAGGUCUGUGAACCCCGUUGGCACCACUGCUUGAGGCUCCUUCAACUGAUGGAUCAAAAGCAUAAGCGUCGAGUCCCAGCAAACUCAUUAUUGGUCCACUAUUCCAAUCAUUUUGAUCCAUAUCGAAGAUAGGCGUUGAUUGUCCAGCAAUCCGAUUGAUCAGCUGGUUUGUCCGGGCUAAAUCUACGUCAUACCUGAGGUAGCUCUGAAUCUCCUCCGCUGGUGCUCUAAAGUUGAGAUUUUGGACUGACCCACCAUUACAGUGAGGCAGCUCCUGCAUAUAACCUUGGCCAUGGGGCAGGCCAGUAAAUACAGGGUAAUUCGUUCUGCCCUGCAGGCUCUCGAUUUGAUCAAUCGGAGUCACACGGGAUCUUACUGGGAUUGGUCUCUGUGGGGUGUGUACUUCCCAAUUGCCAAUCUCAAAGUCCCCUCCUUGCGGCAUUGGGAACUCACCGCCCAAAUUCCACCCGGAGUUCAUCUGGCCUUCUCGUUAUUCAAUCCCUUGUACAAUUCCUUUUCCAGUUGGCUGGAAAUCUCAAAUAUCUUUAUUUUCUACUGGUGGCCAAAUGCGGCUACCAAAAGGGGAAAAAAAAGAAAAGAAAAGAAAAAUGCAAAUUCCCCAGAAUCCUAGUGUUUUGCUCUAAAA